GAAGAAGAAACCCGUGCAGGUGGGGUUGGAUUUGAGCCUUGGGUGGGCUGAAAGGGAAGGACUGUGAGACAGGGAAGUCACAGAACUUCUCAACAAAAGGAAUUAAUUAUAUUCCAGAUAGUCAGUCUUAGAGAUAUUUGCCCACUUUGCACAUGGCUGUCGUUGAAGUCCGGUUCCUCAAAGUGUUCAGGUACUGCUGGAGUUGGUGCAGGACACCUAUUGCACUGAGCUCUGGAAGGAAAAAUCAGCCUUUUUCACAGCCUGCUGCUCAUUGAGCUCGUUUGGAACCUGUUGCUGAUUACUGAGGAGAGAACCUGGCUGGAGUUAUUGCAGAAUAACUGGCCAAAGUUAUCAGAACCAGUCUGCAUCACUCCUGGAGAAGGUGUGUGGGAAAGCGCAUCCACAAAUAGAGACUGGUAGUGCUUAUUUGGAUUGCCAUUCAAAAUCAUCAUUGUCAAGCACCAUCUCUACCAGAUAUAAAAUCAAAGUGGAUGUUGUAUGUCUGCACACUUCACCCUGUGCUGUGGAAGCAGUCGUGUAAUAGAUAAUAAGAAAGACAGUGAAGUUCAUGUGGGAUCAUGGUAAAGAAACAGAGAAAAAAUUGUGGAUAGCUGGCUUUAGCUGAGAAGCAGUUCUGCAGUGAACUAAACUAGUCAUGAAGUAUCAUGGAACUGAGCAAAAUUCUAUUAUAUGGUUGAAGUUAGGGUGGGAAAAAAGGAAAACGUUUAGAAAAGUAAGUGUCCCCAUUUCAGAAGAGAGGUUUGCUUUGAAACAUAGCCACAUUUUAUCUGAAGGAGAAAAAAUCAGUCAAAAUGCCUGAUCUGUGGCAUUUUGAUUGUCUUCUGGAGAACUGCUACACAGCUGUUAGCCUUCUUGGUAAAGACAGAAGGGCAGACGUUGGGUCACUUUGCUUUGAAAGUCGUGAGAUGUUACAGAAUGCAUAACUUGAUGAUGCCAAAGGUUAUCUUCCAAGCAGAACUUUUAGCAGGUAACUCACCAGAGUAAGUAUUGCAAAAUAAAGUUUCUGCUCCUGCCCCGGGGAAUGAUGGUUCAGAGGUAGGUGGUAUUUCAAAACGAUGUUUCUUAGUCUGAGGUACCUUGCAAAUAUUUACAGUUUCAGCCUGCACCUAAAUUAAUGCUUACAGAUGGACGGUGUAAAUAUUCCUGUGUCUUCCUCUUUCAAGAACCAGGUUACCGGUUUGCCUUUGUUGAAACUGAAUGCUCUUCUGCAGCCCGCAUGCCACAUUCAGAAGGUUAUGAGCUUUUGGAGGAUCUAGGUGUAACUGUGAUACUAAAGAAUUGCUUGAAACUAAUUUUAAGGAAAAGAUUAAAUUUUAUAAUAGUUGUAAAUCCUGAAUGGUCUGAUAGGGGUGGUUAGUCUCCUUUAAAAGAGAGAUUUAAAGCAACCCUUCUCUAUAAUCCAUUCAAGGCUUUGAAGUUAGACCACUGGAAACCUAGAUUUAAGCUACAAGUAAUCCUAUAGCAUUGUCUUCUGCUGCUUGUAAAAGCCACAGCAGCCUGUGCAGUUUUGACCAUAUUUAUAGAAAUGGAAUCAAUUUGUUGGCAGAAUAUUAUAUAUCUAACCAUAUGUUGGCUAUCUAACCAUAUCUAACCAGUUGGCUAUGUAAUAUAUUCAUUCAAAUAUGGUGAUGAGAUCUGUGGAUUUUAUAAUCAUAUUGCGGGUAUUCACAGUUAUAAAAGUUAUACUCAAAAAUAAACACAUAGAGCAGAAAUAGUUUCCUGUUAACUGAAUUACUGAAUUUCAACUGAAUCUGUACCACUUAAGCUGAAAAGCAGUAAUUAAAUGUCUUUUCCUAAC
ensembl:lncRNA